rnacentral:rRNA from 1 species
CGGACGGGUGAGUAACGCGUGGAUAACCUACCUAUAAGACUGGGAUAACUUCGUGAAACCGGAGCUAAUACCGGAUAAUAUAUUGAACCGCAUGGUUCAAUAGUGAAAGACGGUUUUGCUGUCACUUAUAGAUGGAUCCGCGCCGCAUUAGCUAGUUGGUAAGGUAACGGCUUACCAAGGCGACGAUGCGUAGCCGACCCGAGAGGGUGAUCGGCCACACUGGAACUGAGACACGGUCCAG